AUUGAACGCUGGCGGCAGGCUUAACACAUGCAAGUCGAGCGGGGGAAGGUAGCUUGCUACCGGACCUAGCGGCGGACGGGUGAGUAAUGCUUAGGAAUCUGCCUAUUAGUGGGGGACAACAUCGCGAAAGGGAUGCUAAUACCGCAUACGUCCUACGGGAGAAAGCAGGGGAUCUUCGGACCUUGCGCUAAUAGAUGAGCCUAAGUCGGAUUAGCUAGUUGGUGGGGUAAAGGCCUACCAAGGCGACGAUCUGUAGCGGGUCUGAGAGGAUGAUCCGCCACACUGGGACGGAGACACGGCCCAGACUCCUACGGGAGGCAGCAGUGGGGAAUAUUGGACAAUGGGGGGAACCCUGAUCCAGCCAUGCCGCGUGUGUGAAGAAGGCCUUAUGGUUGUAAAGCACUUUAAGCGAGGAGGAGGUUACUUUAGUUAAUACCUAGAGAUAGUGGACGUUACUCGCAGAAUAAGCACCGGCUAACUCUGUGCCAGCCGCCGCGGUAA
rnacentral:rRNA from 1 species